rnacentral:lncRNA from 1 species
AUGAAGAUGGUACUGAAGGUGACGAAGGAAGCCCCUACCCCUUGCUUUGAAGGUCAGAAAGUGGUGCUGAAAGGCAUCCACAAUCACACAAAAAAAGAAGAUAUGCAAGUUACCUACAUUCCGACGGCCCAAGACACUGCGUCUUCGAAGGCAGCCCAAAUAUCCUCGAGAGAACGCCCUCAGAAGAAACAAGUUUGACCACUGUGACAUCAUCAAGUUCCCCCUGACUACCGAGUCAGCCAUGAAGAAAAUAGAAGACAACAAUACAUUUGUCUUCAUUGUGGAUGUCAAGGCCAACAAGCACCUAAUCAAACAGGCUGUGAAGAAGCUCUGUGAUGUUGACAUGGCCAAGGUCAACACUCUGGUCAGGCCCGAUGGAGAAAAGAAGGCAUAUGUUUGACUGGCUCCUGACUAUGAUGCUUUGGAUGUUGCCAACAAAAUUGGGAUCAUCUAAACUGAGUCCAGCUGGCUAAAUCUGAAUUUAAACUUUUUCACCAUAAAAAAAGGAUCUGU